rnacentral:lncRNA from 1 species
AAUCACUGCCCCCCCACUGACUGUUUUUUUAUGCCCCCCCCCCCCCCAAUUUUGUGCCCCCCCCUCAGUUGGUGGAUGAGCGCCGGGAGCCGCACAAAUGGCACCGCAAAAAGAGUUUCCUGCCGACCCCCCCCCACCUCCGCCCCCCCCCUCCUCCUCCCCCCCCAACCCCCCCCCCACCCACCCAUUGGGGUCCCACCCCUAAUUUAGGGGGGGGUCCCCAAAAACCUUCCGGGGGGGGUUGGGCCCAAACCUGAGGCCUCCUUUGGCCCUUCAUCGCCAUUGAGGACGAACGAAAAGAAGUUGGGGGGGGGGGGGUAAAAAAAAAGAGGAAAAAACCCCAAAAUCGAGCAAAAAUACGUCAAAAAAAUGAUGGAUUUCAGCGCCCCCCCCCCUUAACAUCCCUUCAACCCCCCCCCCCCUUUUUGUUUUAAUUUUAAAUAGAAAAAAAAACCUCAAAAACCCCCAAAAAUAUUUUGGGGGGACCCCCCCCCCCCCCUCCCCCUCCAACCCCCCCCCCCUUUUUUUUUUUCCUUAUUUUCGGUCGUAUUUUUGUUAAUUUUUUGUUAAUUUCUGUCCGGGAUUAUUAUUUUUUUUUGGGGGGGGGGGGAACCGGAAAGAGGGGGGGGGGGGAAACGGUAUUUAUAUAAAUAUGUAAAAUGUGUCAUAAUUUUGGGGGGGGGGGGGGUGGAGGGGAUGGGGGGGGGG